UAAAUUAUUUUGUUUUUGUUUUUAUAGCUUCCUUUUUCGUCGUUUCACAGCAGUAUACUCAAACUAGCCGAGUUUUUGUAGAAAAUGUUAUUUAAUGGAGAAAGAGUAUCUGUAUUUAGAAAUGGUUCCCAGCCAGGUUACAGCAGCUGGGCUGGGGUACCCAGAUCUGGGGACUGGGGGACUGGCGCCGUGAAGAUUAAUGGUUAUAGCUCUCUUACUCUGUGCGGGAGACAGAGGUUUGAUUUCUCUUGACGGCGAUUCAACAUGGGCGAGUGAAUGUUGCCAUAGCCCCGGGUUAACCCAAGCCAUGUGAGGGAAAUUAGGAAGAUGGCACACUGUGGGCCGUUGGAUGUUGCCAGGAGUUGUCUAGUAGAGCACAGGCUGUAAUUGGGUCUGCGUAGCUCAAAAUAAGCAUUAAAUACUCUAGGACUCUCCAUCUAAGCUAUGGCCCCAACCAAGAAAUAAUAGAGAGGGUAUAUCCCUCAAUAACACUUUCCUGAGCAUGCUGGGACCACGGCUGUUUCACUACGGUCAAAUUGCAGACAAAAUUAAGAUGGCUUCCACAAUUUUUUUGGAAAUUUUGUAUUUUUAUCAUUUUUUAAGUUAUUGAAACUUUUUUUGUGUUGUUUUAAUUUUACUGAAUUAAAAAGUAUUAAAACGAUCUACUUUUCCCCUUUUUAAAUAUAUAAAUAUGUUAUACAUGUGUGUUAUAAAUUUCGAGUUAUUUCGUCGAACAAAACACACAAAACUAAAAAAAACAUUAUUUUUGGCGAAAGUAUACCAUCUUUCCAACCUUGUGCCAACGCCGCCCUACUAGCUACGGACUUGAAAAUUGUUAUGGGGGGCCUGGAAACAUGGUUCUAUUGGCCGGUACCGUGCACCGUUCGUCUCGCAAACUAUAAACUACUUAAAUUUUAAGUUAAAGUCUUCUUUAGGCGCUAAAAAAGAGGAGAAAAAGUUGCCAAAGUGGUGCACAGCGAUUUGAUGUAGUGUGAUCCCUUUUCUGUCUAAUUAAAUAAUUAUCUAACCUUCUAAGCAAGUCACAGUGAUGGCGUUUAAUAUUUUAGUAGGUAUGGUUUUUCCCAACAAAAUUAUGGCAACCCGGUGUUUACUUUUGACUUGAUUGCUCGACCCAGGAAUCCUAAUCCGAAACCUGGAUUUUUUGAAAAUGUUGGAAUAAGCAAGACAAUGGUGUCUUAGCAAUUUUGAAGCUAGCUAAAGUUUGGCAGAGCACGAGUUAAGACUUUGGUGGGCUUUUUCAAGCUAAAAUUGUUGAAAUCAAAGAUGUUUAUGGCUAGCUAGCUAGCUAAUCUUGGCUUUAUCACUAGAUUGGGUGCUAUUUUAUACAAUUUAUAAAGAAACACAAAAUGAUUGCUUUGUAUAUAUUUAAUGUAUAUAAUAAAUAAACUAUUUAUGCACAACUUGAGAUAUUUUCUACUAACAUGAUAAACUAGAAUGUUGAAACUGUCGACUCUGAAUGACAUUUUAUUUAAUGUAUGAUGUCACAUAUUUGGCCCGAAAACCCUUAGGACCAAAAGUGACCCUUUGGACAAUUUCGGACAGAUAAAUAUUACAUCUACAUCAUCUUUAAUGGCCUCAGAAUCCAAAGUAAUGUUUUUUAUUCAGUUAAUAAACGAAUUUUAAGCAUACAUUCAGGCUCUAAAGGCCGUUUUUCACAUAAUUUCUCACAUUUGGCCCAAAAAUAACCCUUUGGACAAUUUCGGACAGACUAAUAUGUCAUCUACAUCAUCUUUAAUGGCCUUAGAAUCCAAAGUUGUUUUUUAUUCAGGUAAUAAACAAACUUUAAGCAUACAUUGAGGCUCUAAAGGCCGUUUUUCACAUAGGUCUCACAUUUGGCCCAAAAAUAACGCUUUGGACAAUUUCGGACAGUAAUAAAAUUAAUUAAUUUUUAUUCCAGAUAUUUAACCUAACCUGUGGACCAUAAAAAACAUGUUUCCUUAACUUUAUUCUAGAGAUAUUGUGGAAGACAUUCAUCUAAAUGAUAAUUUUUAAGUCAUUUUUAGACAUUUUGGCCUAAAUAUACCAAUUUCGGACAGGUGUCCAAAAAUUUUUUUCUUUUAAUAAUAUAGACAAUUUAUCUGAGAUUAUUAUUCUUUUUACAGAAUAUAAAAAUUUUAUUUUGUUCUUGAGAUAUCCUGUUUUAACUGAGAGGGUAAUUCGAAUUAUUUUUUCGUAACAUUUUUGUCGGCUUCGAAACAGCUGUGGGACUCGCCCAGAGCAUUCCCGAAAUGCAACUCCUUGUAAUAUAAUAUGUGAACAUUUUGGAAAAAGGUGCUUGAAGAGAAAGGAGUUGAUAAAGUUUUUUUUAAGUUAUUUAUCAAGUAAAUCUUAUCAUCAAAAACAGUCCUUUUAAGAGCUUCGCCACAACAUAGUUGAUUUUAAUUUUUAUAGUUUCUUGAAUCAUUUGUGUUGAAUCUUUGAGUGUUUUCUAGGUAAAUCUUUUUUUCUUUCUGGCAUUAUUUGGGUCUAUGCGGGUUUCUUGGGCAAAUAUAUGAAUUUUUUCAAAACGCCAAACUCGCCUGAAAAUGCCCACAGUUUUCAUGGCGCAAGCGGCUUAUCGUGACCCUCGUUCCUCAAAUCACUGACUUGCCAAUGUUUACAAAAGUUAAAUAGUUUGCAGAAAGUGGUCUAUAAAUAAGUUGCAAAUGUUUACAAAGUUUAGUAUAUGCGUGCGCAUCUUUACAGGUAAGGAAAGAAGGUAUAGAAUUAAGGAAUAAACUAUCAUUUUCUCUUUUUAAGAUUAGGAUUUAAUUAUUUCAAAAAGUAAGUU